UUUAGAUAAUGUGUUGAUUUCCUAUGUCAUUGGCCGGCUUUUUCGGCCAACAGACACCGGUACUUAGGUUUGGACAAAAUACGAGACAUGAACCAACUUAGGGGCGUGGUAUGGAAAACAAUUAAGGAUUUUACAUAUCACAGAUGGCUCAACAUUUUCCGAUUACGUCUUCCCUACAAAAGAGGCCAGAAAUAAAUUCUUCGGAAGACCAUUUACAGGAUCACAUUAAAAUCCUAAUCGUUUUCCAAGAACCCUUUACCCUCUUGGAAUACGCCCUAAAGUUUUGGCAAUAAAUUUCAAUUUUGAUGUGCGUAGUAUGCAAACUUACUUACGAACAUUCAAUUAAGGAUCAGUGGACACUUUGCUUUCAACAAUGCGUGCAACACAAUUGAUUUUUGACUCAAUGAUAAGGGAUCUCCCUUUUAUAAGCGAGUCCGAACUGCGUGCUGCUUGGCGGAUACCCACAAAUGUCUCGAGCAUCAGUAAGCGAAUAUCAACUGCUGAUAUAUGCUACUGAUUUUAUUGGCGGGAUUUGAGCCAAAGCGUUUAGAGUCGUAGUCGUACAUUCCUAACCUCUGCGCCAAGUUGGCGUCCUUGUGCAGAGUAUAAACCACAAACUCCUUCUAACGUUGGCUUUGCUCAAUUAAUUUAUGAUGUUGAUGGUAAAGUACAACAAAUGUUUUAAAAUAGGGAUGA